UACGUAGGGGGCGAGCGUUGUCCGGAUUCAUUGGGCGUAAAGCGCGCGUAGGCGGCUUCGCAAGUCGGCCGUGAAAUCUCCGGGCUCAACUCGGAGGGGUCGGGCGAGACUGCGAGGCUCGAGGUGGGCAGAAGGCAGUGGAAUUCCGGGUGUAGUGGUGGAAGUGCGCAGAUAUCAGGAGGAACACCGGUGGCGAAGGCGGGUUUCUGGGCCGAUACUGACGCUGAGGAGCGAAAGCGUGGGGAGCAAACAGG
rnacentral:rRNA from 1 species